UCCAGGUUAGCUCAGUUGGUAGAGUGCUCCAAUGGAAAUGGAGAGGUCUCUCGUUCGAUACCGAGACCUGGUG
rnacentral:tRNA from 1 species